rnacentral:rRNA from 1 species
UACGAAGGGGGCUAGCGUUGUUCGGAAUCACUGGGCGUAAAGGGCGCGUAGGCGGCCGAUCAAGUCGGGGGUGAAAGCCUGUGGCUCAACCACAGAAUUGCCUUCGAUACUGGUUGGCUUGAGACCGGAAGAGGUAAGUGGAACUGCGAGUGUAGAGGUGAAAUUCGUAGAUAUUCGCAAGAACACCAGUGGCGAAGGCGGCUUACUGGUCCGGUUCUGACGCUGAGGCGCGAAAGCGUGGGGAGCGAACAGG